UUCGUAGGCGGUGUGGCAAGUUGGGAGUGAAAUCUCUGGGCUUAACCCAGAGGCUGCCUCCAAAACUGCUGUGCUUGAGUGUGGGAGAGGCGCGUGGAAUUGCAGGUGUAGCGGUGAAAUGCGUAGAUAUCUGCAGGAACACCCGUGGCGAAAGCGGCGCGCUGGACCACAACUGACGCUGAGGAACGAAAGCUAGGGGAGCAAACAGGAUUAGAUACCCUGGUAGUCCUAGCCCUAAACGAUCAGGACUUGGGGUGCCGCCCGUUCGGGCGUCGUCCCGGAGCUAACGCGUUAAGUCCUGCACCUGGGGAGUACGGUCGCAAGACUGAA
rnacentral:rRNA from 1 species